UUUAUGAUCAGCAAGUGACUCUGUAACCUACAUCCGGGUAAAAGAGUGAAAAAAAUGCGGUGAAAGAAGAAAGUUAGCAUUGACGCUAAUUGGCGAAGAGGCUGUGUUACAGAGCACAGCUGACCGAGGAGGCGGGUUGGGUUUAAACUCCUUACUGAAGGAAGCUAGUAGUCAGGAAACUGUUCACAUUGUAACAAGAAGGCGGAUUUUAAACCAGAUGAGCGUGUGCUACUGACAUGGCACAACGCCGUUUGUGUUCUAAAUGUCUGUCAUGUCUAAAAGCGAAAAUGAAAACGACGUUAAAAGACCAGACGAUUCGUUAGAAGACGCUUCACCAGCACCGUGUACUCAGGUGUCAGAUAAACACAACGCACAAGAUGCUACCAGCGCGUCUCAACCUUCAGCCAAGGAGUCAGUGUUUACACAGGAAAGUAAAACUCAGACACUAGGACCACCUGAAGCACUUAAAAACCCUUCUGCUGAAGCUGAAGGUCGACCAUCGGGUAUGCUGAACAAUCCUGUGACCUUCACUGUAACAUCUGCCUCCAUGACUCCAACACAAAAUGCCAUAGUGAGCUCUGUGCCUGUGAGAUCUGCCACGCCGCUGGUGGUGGGGGCGAGAAUGGUGUCGACGGCUGGGGCUAGUGGACAAACCUCAGCAUCACAUCCUGGAGGACUCACUGUAACGUCUAACCAGAUCAGACCUCCACCAGUGACCCAAACUCCGCUUCGAGCAGCGAUCGUGGCUUUACCGAGGACUUCACAACAGAAUGUAACCGUGCCACGGAGCCCUCAGACAACAUCUCUUCAACUACCUGCUAACUUCCAGAUUCCACAAGGUAUGGUUUUAAUUCGCAGCGACAGUGGGCAGUUGAUGCUGGUUUCCCAGCAGGCUUUGGCUCAAGCACAGGCCCAGGGCUUUGUGCCCAAAACAUCAAGUGUCACUACAGCUGUAAGACCACCAGCCUCCCAGGCAACAGCUACAUCUAUCAUCAGAGUUUCUGUUCCAUCUUCAUCUACAACGGUAGCCACCUUGGUAAAGCCUACCUCCUCUACAGUAAAGGCUGUUUUGAAGCCCAGCUCCACCAUGGCCACUACCAUAAUCAAACCUACCACUACAGGAAGCACAAUUAUUAAAUCCCCCUCAGUGUUAGGGACUGGCAUUAAGCCAAACACUAUCACGGGACCCACCGUCAUUAAAGUCACCUCUGCUCAGAAACCUCCGAUAAGCAACACAACAGGAACCAUAAGCCAAAGGACUAUAAAUGUUCCCUCUACAUCUGUAGUAACGUCUAUUGGCAAAGCAUCACUUUCUACAUCAGUUUCUCAAAGCAUCCGCCCAGUUGCCAUUGGACCUCGAAAUAUUUCCCCGAAUAUUCCCAUCAAAGCCAGCAGCAAUAGCAAAGUCUCCAAUCCAGCUACUGUCACAACCGAGACAUUGGAGAAUGUAAAGAAAUGUAAAAACUUUCUGAUCACUCUAAUGAAGCUGGCAUCGAGUGGGACCCGUUCACCUGACAUGGCACAGAAUGUCCGAGCUCUAGUCAAAGACCUGCUGGACGGAAGACUUGAAGCAGAGGAGUUCACUGAAAAACUUUACAUGGAGCUGAAAUCAUCCCCGCAACCAUACCUGGUGCCCUUUCUUAAAAGAAGCCUUCCAGCUGUGCGUCAGCUCACCCCAAACUCUCAGCUCUUCAUCCAGCAGAGUGAGCAGACCAAAGCAUCAUCUUCAUCCACAAUCAGCAGCAGUGCCCAGAAACUCAGCAUUACCUCCUCCACCACGUUCUCUCAGCCUCUCCGAGGCAGUGUAUCAGCCAGACCUGCUCAAAUGGUGAUCCAGCAAAGCAAAGGAGUGAUUGUGGAGCAACGUGUGACCUCUUCAUCCCAUGUUGUCUUGCCAGUGCAGAACCACACACAGGCCAAGCAGCCAGUCAUUCAGACAAACACACAGGCAGCAGGAGAUUUUAGGAAGCUUUCACUCCAGGCAUGUAAAACCCCCUCUGGACCUACUCAGGCAGCACAAGCACACAAUUUCAAGAACAGCACCUCAGGCUUAUUCCGUGAUGACGACGACAUAAAUGACGUGGCCUCCAUGGCGGGUGUAAAUGUGAAUGAGGAAAACGCUCGCAUUUUGUCAUUCAGUUCAGAGCUGGUGGGAACAGUGGUGCGCUCAUGCAGGGACGAGCCUUUCCUCCAGACCACAGCACUGCAACAGAGAGUGCUUCACAUCGGUAAGUCUCUGGGUGUUGCAGAGGUGAAUCCAGAUGUGCUUGAGUUGCUUUCUCAUGCCACACAGGAAAGACUUCGCAAUCUGCUGGAAAAACUCACUGUUAUAGCACAUCAUCAUAAUAUCUCUUACAGGGAUGAUUGGUGGAACAUUCAGACCAGUGACACUCGAGCCCAGCUAAAGUUCUUGGAACAGCUGGAAAAAGUGGAGAAACAAAGAAGAGAAGAAGAGGAGAAGGAAACCCUGUUGCGCAUUGCUAAGAGUCGCUCGAGCUGCGAGGACCCUGAACAGCUUCGGCUCCGACAGAGAGCGAAAGAGGUUGAUGCAGCAGCAAGAGCUAGCUCAGAUGGAGCACAGAGAUGCUAACCUGGCAGCACUGGCAGCUCUGGGGCCUCGGAAGAGGAAACCUGUGGAAGCUUCAGGCUCAGGGACUAAUCAGGUUCUGAGUUUACGUGCUCAGAGAACGUCUCAAAGGCCUCCAACACGUGUCACUUUCAGAGAUUUGAUCUUCUGCAUGGAACAGGACCGUGCACUUAGACACUCUCUUACACUGUAUGAUGCUUUCCUACGUUAAAAAUCUUUGUUUCUUUCCAAGAUUACUUGGAAUUGCGUGUCUUUCGGCUUACUUUGGAAAUGAGCACUACCUCAUUUCUGGAUUAACGGUUCUUUGGUUUCUUUGGUUAGUUGUUACAGUAUUGAUUGAAAUGUUUUGCACUUGUUAUUUGAGGUAUUAAAACACUUGAGCAUU